CUUGGUCAUUUAGAGGAAGUAAAAGUCGUAACAAGGUUUCCGUAGGUGAACCUGCGGAAGGAUCAUUAAAGAACGCCCCGUUUUUUGAAAUGGGUAAUUCCAAACCGUGUAUACGUACCUUUGUUGCUUUGGCAGGCCGCCUCUCGAGGCGUUGGCUCCGGUUGACUGUGCCUGCCAGAGGACCCAAACUCGUUUGUUUAGUGAUGUCUGAGUACUAUAUAAUAGUUAAAACUUUCAACAACGGAUCUCUUGGUUCUGGCAUCGAUGAAGAACGCAGCGAAAUGCGAUAAGUAAUKUGAAUUGCAGAAUUCAGUGAAUCAUCGAAUCUUUGAACGCACAUUGCGCCCCUUGGUAUUCCGAGGGGCAUGCCUGUUCGAGCGUCAUUAUAACCACUCAAGCUUCGGCUUGGUCUUGGGGUUUCGAGGUUUCUCGGCCCUUAAAAUCAGUGGCGGUGCCAUCUGGCUCUAAGCGUAGUAAUUUUUCUCGCUACAGGGUCCAGGUGGUUACCUGCCAAUAAACCCCCCCUUUUAAGGUUGACCUCGGAUCAGGUAGGGAUACCCGCUGAACUUAAGCAUAUCAAUAAGCGGAGGAAAAGAAACCAACAGGGAUUACCUCAGUAACGGCGAGUGAAGCGGUAACAGCUCAAAUUUGAAAUCUGGCUCUUUCAGGGUCCGAGUUGUAAUUUGUAGAAGAUGCUUUGGGUGAGGCUCCGGUCUAAGUUCCUUGGAACAGGACGUCAUAGAGGGUGAGAAUCCCGUACGUGACUGGGUGCCUUUGCUCGUGUAAAGCUCUUUCGACGAGUCGAGUUGUUUGGGAAUGCAGCUCAAAAUGGGUGGUAAAUUUCAUCUAAAGCUAAAUAUUGGCCAGAGACCGAUAGCGCACAAGUAGAGUGAUCGAAAGAUGAAAAGCACUUUGGAAAGAGAGUUAAACAGUACGUGAAAUUGUUGAAAGGGAAGCGCUUGCAACCAGACUUGCAUGCUGUUGAUCAUCCGAGAUUUUUCCCGGUGCACUCGGCAGUAUUCAGGCCAGCAUCGGUUUCGGUGGGCGGAUAAAGGCCUUGGGAAUGUAGCUUCUUUCGGGGAGUGUUAUAGCCCUCGGUGCAAUGCGCCCUACCGGGACCGAGGACCGCGCUUCGGCUAGGAUGCUGGCGUAAUGGUUGUAAGCGACCCGUCUUGAAACACGGACC
rnacentral:rRNA from 1 species